ACGGGUGAGUAACACGUGGGCAACCUGCCUAUAAGACUGGGAUAACUUCGGGAAACCGGAGCUAAUACCGGAUACGUUCUUUUCUCGCAUGAGAGAAGAUGGAAAGACGGUUUACGCUGUCACUUAUAGAUGGGCCCGCGGCGCAUUAGCUAGUUGGUGAGGUAAUGGCUCACCAAGGCGACGAUGCGUAGCCGACCUGAGAGGGUGAUCGGCCACACUGGGACUGAGACACGGCCCAGACUCCUACGGGAGGCAGCAGUAGGGAAUCUUCCGCAAUGGACGAAAGUCUGACGGAGCAACGCCGCGUGAACGAAGAAGGCCUUCGGGUCGUAAAGUUCUGUUGUUAGGGAAGAACAAGUACCAGAGUAACUGCUGGUACCUUGACGGUACCUAACCAGAAAGCCACGGCUAACUACGUGCC
rnacentral:rRNA from 1 species